AGUGACAGGUCAUGAAAGAUAAAGCUACAGACCCACUGGAGAUGUGGGCCAGCCGAAGUUUCAACCAGAUGUCGCCAGAGUGGCCAGUCUCCCCCAGGCAAAGCAAAGCAAAGCGAUAGUUCCUGGACAACUCCUUUCGUGGUGGACUUCCUGAGGCCCUCUGCGCCGGCUCCUGGCUCUACAGAGCUUGUUCCUGGGGACCAGUUACUCCAGGCUUUGGAUCUCCCCACCUCAAUAGUUCGCAGGGAAGUUCUCCAUCAUUCCACUGGGGCCAGGCCUUGGGUUCCACUCCAGAAGCCCCGAAGCACCCUUCCUCCUGUCCAGAGUCCUCUCUCCUACCUACUUGGGCUUAGGCUCAGCCCACCUGUGGGCUGGGAGGGGAUGGAAGAGACAGGUGGGCCCCUAGAUGCACUGGCUGGAUUGCAGACAUAUUUAUGCUCCAUUUCUAGUGUCUGGUCCUUCCUGUGGUCCCACUGAUGGGGGAACAGAAAGGAAACAGGAGGGGGCUGGGGUGACAGGCACAGCCCACUAGGCUGCCCUCCUCUGCCUCACCCUCCCUUGCCUGGGCCCCAGCUGAGCCCAUCAUCAGAGGCCUCCAGGAGCUGGGGCCACAGUCUGCGUGGGUCUGCCCCUCCCCUCACCCCAGCCUAGAAGACUCCACCUCUCCCAGGUCCUGGCUGGGAUCCGAAGGCCCCGGGCAAGUGGGGGAAGGGGAGCCACUCCUACUUUCCCAGCAGCUGCUGCUGCCUCUUCCUGUUUUGCUAAAACUUUGGCUCCGGACCCAAGGGGGUGGGGGAAAGUCGCCAGGCGCUCUCGCCCCCCCCAAAGGUCAAACUCAUCCCCCUGGUCCUCUUAGCUAGUUAUUUAUAGCUCCCCAGGCCCUGGCUGAGGAGCUACAUCUCUCCUCCCCCAAAUGUCAGCAGCUGUGGCCAUUGCCCCAGGGAUGCAGCCAGAUGUGCUGAUCACUCCAGAUGCGCAGUGCCAGGAUUUGGGAGCGCAGGCCAGGCCCUUUCUCCUGGACAUUCCCUGCUGCCUGGUUCCUCCUCCACUCUGAGUCAACAAACCUGAGUCCUGGGGGAUGGGGGGACAUCAGGAAGUUCCCACCUAUUUUCUCCACUCCCAUUGCCUGAUCCCAAGACGGGACAGCUCGGGCUAUAGACCCACGUGGAUGUCUUUGCAUAAAUUAGGACAGGACUCAUUUGGAGACUGGAUUUGUAGAAGUCAGCUGCAGUUCAGAGGGACAGAAGGGUCAGGAUGCUGGAUGCUGUCUUCUUACUAACGUCAGCACGGAGAUCCACUCCUGAGAGUCCAGCGUCCAAAGGGCAGGCUCUGCGAUUCUUUUCUUUGGCUACAUCCUGCUCUCCAGGAGAUGAUGAAUUCCCCAGGGAGAGGACUGCAGCUUCCUUUGCCUCUGUGCCAGGAAGUUGCUCAACAAAUAAGAGAUUAUACGUAAUGAAAAAGAGUUGAAGUCAGUGGUGGUCACGUGUGGGUGGAUCCUUCAAGGUUGUAGCAAGGGGAGAAGUCCAAACCCAUCCUAAAAGACACUCCUGGCAAAGAGAGUGUCAGGACCUCCUCAAACGCUUGCCUAGAGAUUCCAAGGCCUGAGAAGGUCCUGCUGCGGCCUGUGGCAAGGCUGAACUCCCGAGCCCACCAGUGGGUGGACCACAGCAUCCCUGCAGGGGCCACUGGAGCACGUAAUUGUGAGCUGGCUACAGAAAGGCAUUUUGCAACUCAGACGAAUUUCUUCUCGCUCACGAUUAGGGUAUGGCCCAGUGGCUGCCUCCCUGACUGUAAUCUCUGCUGGCACAGGCAUCUCCGGGGCUGGGCAGUGGGGGCUGUGGAAGGAGGGCUGACCUAGAAGCCUGGACGCCGGAGUUCUCUGCCCGCUCCUCGCCAGGGAUUAACCAUGGCAUGGCUGGCAGGGAGACUGGGUUCUCAGUUUCCUCAUCUGUAAAAGGAGUGAUGUGAUUAGAUUAGAGCGGCCCAAACCUAACCACACCUUAGGAUUACCUGGGGAGCUUCAGAUUACUAGGUACUCCCUUCACCCCUUGCAUCUGCUGGGGGCUGUGAGAUGGCCCAGGAAUCUGUUUUUCACAGGCUCUUCUACAUGAUUUUUUUUGGGCCACACCCACAGCCUGUGGAAGUUCUGGGGCCAGGGAUCGAACCUGCGACCCUAGCCACUGCAGUGACAAUGCCGGAUUCUUAACCUGCUGAGCCACAGGGAAACUCCUACAGGAUUUUGACAUAAUGUCAAGUAUGGGGGAUCCUACAGACUAUAAAUAUAAAUAGACUGUAAAUAUAAAUCACUUGCAGCUCUUAGGAGAAAAGAUUCUAGUAAAUGGAAUGGCUGUAACAAGAGGCUUUGGUGCUGUGGGAUUUUAUCAGAGGGCAAAUGGUGGGUAGUUUAUUUCAUCAUCAUCAUCACCAUCAAUUACUAUUUUUUCCAGGCCUUUUUUGGCUGCACCUGCAGCAUGCAGAAGCAUGCGGGGCCAGGGAUCAAACCAGCACCCCCGUGGUGACAACACCAGAUCCUUAACCCGCUGCACCACCAGGGAACCCCUCCAGUUUUAUUGAGAUAUAAUUGACCUACAUCACUGUGUAAGGUGUACAGCACAAUUUGAUUUACAUACAUCAGGAAAGGGUUAUCAGACUAAGUUUAGUAAAUAUGUAUCAACUCAUAUAGAUACAAAAUUAAAGAAAUGGAAACACCCUUUUCUUCCUGCGAGCAGAGGACUCGGGAUUGAGGCCCUCGCUUACCUCAAGGCUGGAGCCGGGCUGGGAGAGAAGGGAAGGGAGGAAUGGGCCGUCCCUGUAGGUGGGGCCUCUUGGCACGGGGACCUUUCUCUCUCACUCUCCUGGGUGGAGUUUGGCUGCACGGGCUUUGGCACCAGCCUCUGGAGCUGAGAGAGUGUCUUCCCAUCCGUAUUCCUCCCCCACUUCGGUUUCAGCCCAGAGGACAGCCCCCUUCUCCUCCUCCUGCCCCGACUUCCUCCCCAGGCUCCCUCACCAACCUCAUUCCUAAGCCUCGCUAAUCUGUUUGCCACCCUCUGCUUCCUUGCCUCGCCCUUGCUCAUGCCAUUCUCUCCACCUGGAAUGUCACCCCCGCCCCCCAACACCAAUUCACAUUUCUGGGCUCCUUUGAAACCCAGCUCCAGACUGGCUGACGUCGUUGGGGCUGUGAUCUGCCCAGGUCGCUCCUCUUCGGAGAUAGACUCAUUUAUGCUUGAAAUCACAGAAUCAGAGAACAGCUUUAGACUCAGAAAGAAAUAAGUACAGAUGACCUAAACCAGCUCUCGCAUUCAAUGGACGGAAACCCUGAGGCCCAGAGAGGUCUUGACUUGGCCAAGGUCACACAGUCGUGAGGUUUGCUGGUGGUGGUGGUGGCGGCGAACAGUUGGCUUCACAAGAGGCUUUCAAGUAUCCUACGUCUUUGUUUUAUUUCCUCGACACGUGGUGAUGCCUAUGAGGGCAGAGGUGAUGUUGCUGUUUUAAUUGGUGUUCUUAAGCUCCACGGUGCUGUGUAUGUGCAGGCAACUGUAAUAGUUCUAAAACUCGCAGGGGUGCACAUUUUGCAUAUGAUCUCAGACCAGCCCUGAGCGGUAGGUCACCAAGGCAUUGCUAUCUUACUGAGCAGGAAACUGAGACUUAGAAAGGUGUGACCCAGGAAGUUAAUGGCAGAACCGGGGCCAAAACGCAAGUUCCCUGCCUCCCAGCCUCAGCCCAGGACCCUGACACCCAUGAUGCUGUUCUUCUAGAGCCUUCCUGAGGUUCCCGGCAGGGGACCUAGAGUAGUCAAAGGGGUGGCCUCCGCCGUCUUUCGCCUUCCUUGUGAUUUCUUCACUUUGGGGUUGAGCAGACCUUGCCUCUGGCCUCCUACCCCUCCCCAUCCUGUCCCACCGCGUUCUCCUUGUGUCCCCCCACAGCCUGUUGGCACAUUGACCCAUACGCAUACAUGCUCAGAGCUGCAGGUGUCUAGGGCAACAGACCACAGGGGAAACCACAUCACCUUUGUUGACACUGGAGGGAGGCAGGGGGGCCGGGAAAGAACCUGCUUACGUCUCUCCACCUGCCUCUGUCCCCGCAGUCAUCUCACCUCCCAGCCUGGUGGGUCAUCUGGACUUGACCCAUGGCCCAGCCUCUUCCUGAGGACCCAUCCAAACCUGGCCCGGGAGGAUGUAUCGCCCCUUCUCACAGAUCCUGAAAUCCUGGAGGGAGGUGGGGCGGUCUGCCUAGCUGCACCCCAAAGCCACACCCCCAAUCCUAGCCAGUUUACUGACCUAGCUCCUCUGAUUCCACCUGCGCAGUGCAGCAGACAAAGGUGGAAACCAGGAAUGAGAGGACAUGGCUGGGGGUCGGUAAGGAAGGAAAUUUGACAUCUAGGCCAUCACUCCUACAUCAAAGGGGACCGCUAGGGAGUUCCUGUCGUGGCUCAGCGGUUAAUGAACCCAACUGGCAUCCAUGAGGACGCAGGUUCGGUCCCUGGCCUCGCUCUGUGGGUUAAGGAUCAGGUGUUGCCGUGAGCUGUGGUUUAGGCCGGUGGCUACAGCUCCAAUUAGACCCCUAGUCUGGGAACCUCCACACGCCGCAGGUGCGGCCCUAAAAAGACAAAAAGACACCAAAAAAAGGUGGAGGGGGGACCUCUAGUAACCAGGCUACACGGGAUCUGUGGUGUUUGGACCUGCUGAAAGAAGCUGCACAGGCUCUGAAUCAGGCCCAUUUGGGAUUAAGUCACUUGCUGGCUCUGUGGCCUUGGGCAAAUCAUUUUGUGUUUCUGAGCUUUAGUUUGCUAACUAAAACAAUGGGGAUAAUAAUGAGAUAUAAGUGAAAGGUCCUGGAACAGCACAGGAUACCAAGGAGACGCUCAAUAAAUCCUAAUUACCCUCCCUCCCUCCUUUCCUUCCACUUGUUGCAUCUGGCUCCAUGAAACCCUUUAUUUGGAAUUGGAGCUCUACCUCCCCUAUUUACGUGCAAGUCCAAACCCUGAGCAUUGGCAUCUGAUCCCAGGUUCAGAAACAGGAAUGCACAUCCCCACAGCCCAAGGAAGUGGCUGUCCCUCGGAGCGUGCACCCAGGCCAAGGACGAACACCUUCUGAUCGGCCUUGUGGAGAGGGUGUGAGAAGUCCAGGUUAGGAAAGGGCUUGUGGCUUCAGACACCACAUCGAGAAAGCGGGUCAGGAAUGGUCUCAGAGGCCUGCGGUUUAGACCGAUGCCUUCGGAUGGAGCUUUGAACCCUGGCACAAGGUGGGCGCCCAAUAACACUUGUUGAAUGAACGCAUGGCCUCAGCACUUACUAGUUGUGUAACGUUGGUCAUGUUUCUCAACUUUUAUGAGUCGCACUUUAAUCACAAACAUAACAAGGAUUACUGCUAAGAAUAAAUGAUCUCAUGUUUGCCAGGGGGCUGGCAUAGGGCUGCUGCAUGGCACACAGUCAGUAAAUGGUAGCUAAGUAAGGGGAUGUGAGAUAAACGAGAAAGAGAAGGUCAAAGAGGCUCAGAACCCCAAAGCAAGCGGAAGGUGGCUGCCUUCAGGCUUCGUACUGGCCAGAGACUCCAGGAAGACUCUGGGGAGCCAAGGCAGGUCCUGUGGGGCUAAUCUCUUCUGCUAGGUGCUUAGCUGAGCAGUCUGUGAGAGGCCUGGACUCAAGAGC
rnacentral:lncRNA from 1 species